GAUGAACGCUGGCGGCGUGCCUAAUACAUGCAAGUCGAGCGAACAGACGAGGAGCUUGCUCCUCUGACGUUAGCGGCGGACGGGUGAGUAACACGUGGAUAACCUACCUAUAAGACUGGGAUAACUUCGGGAAACCGGAGCUAAUACCGGAUAAUAUAUUGAACCGCAUGGUUCAAUAGUGAAAGACGGUUUUGCUGUCACUUAUAGAUGGAUCCGCGCCGCAUUAGCUAGUUGGUAAGGUAACGGCUUACCAGGGCAACGAUGCGUAGCCGACCCGAGAGGGUGAUCGGCCACACUGGAACUGAGACACGGUCCAGACUCCUACGGGAGGCAGCAGUAGGGAAUCUUCCGCAAUGGGCGAAAGCCUGACGGAGCAACGCCGCGUGAGUGAUGAAGGUCUUCGGAUCGUAAAACUCUGUUAUUAGGGAAGAACAAAUGUGUAAGUAACUAUGCACGUCUUGACGGUACCUAAUCAGAAAGCCACGGCUAACUACGUG
rnacentral:rRNA from 1 species